rnacentral:rRNA from 1 species
CAAAAUAUGAAGGCCUGGCUUUCGCGGCCGGCUGAAGUAUUUUUUUCACCCAUGUCUUUUGCGCACUUGUUGUUUCCUGGGCGGGUUCGCCCGCCACCAGGACCAAACCAUAAACCUUUUUUUCUUAUGCAGUUUCCAUCAGCGUCAGUAAAAACAAUGUAAUUAUUACAACUUUCAACAACGGAUCUCUUGGUUCUGGCAUCGAUGAAGAACGCAGCGAAAUGCGAUACGUAGUGUGAAUUGCAGAAUUCAGUGAAUCAUCGAAUCUUUGAACGCACAUUGCGCCCUUUGGUAUUCCAAAGGGCAUGCCUGUUCGAGCGUCAUUUGUACCUUCAAGCUUUGCUUGGUGUUGGGCGUUUUUUUGUCUCCCUCUUUCUGGGAGACUCGCCUUAAAACGAUUGGCAGCCGGCCUACUGGUUUCGGAGCGCAGCACAUUUUUUGCGCUUUGUAUCAGGAGAAAAGGACGGUACUCCAUCAAGACUCUACAUUUUUCACUUUUGACCUCGGAUCAGGUAGGGAUACCCGCUGAACUUAAGCAUAUCA